CGGGGCGUGGCUCAGCCCGGUAGAGCGCAGCGUUCGGGACGCUGAGGUCGGAGGUUCGAAUCCUCUCGCCCCGACCA
rnacentral:tRNA from 2 species